GCACUGCUUGGCUGUGUGAGUAGGCGUGCAGACACUGUGUUUGUCUGUGCGGACGUUGAUGUUUGAACGGCACUUAUUCACUCUCCAGUACAGCACUCCUGGAUGUUAUGUUUCUGUUAUGCUGGCUGGUCAGGUUUCUCAAUGGGCUGAGGACUGGAUUGAGAGAGAGAGAGAGAGAUAGAAAGGAAGAGAAGCCAAGGCAGCAGCAACAGUAACAACAGCAGCAACAGUAACAGUAACAGCAGAAGCCAAGCAAUUGCCAGUCAGGAAGGAAAGGCAACAGCAAAACCUCAGCCUGAAUUUGCAGCACAACAGAUGGACCUGGGAUGAUCAUGUCAAACAGCACUGAAGGUUUGAUAACCUACAGGACUCAGCCUGUCUCUGCUGCUGUGACUGUUACUGCUGUAGCCUGAUUUCCCUUUCUCACUCACUCACUCACUCACUCACACAGCACAGCAC